rnacentral:rRNA from 1 species
AUGCUUCUCCUAAAGACUUAGCCAUGCAUGCCUCCGAAUAAGAGGAAGCAAUUCUCUCUGAAUCUGCGAACGGCUCCGCAAACCAGUUGUAAACCACAGCAAGCCCGCAAGGGUGGGCCUCGGCUCGCCUGCGCGAUACGGAUAACCCUGGUAAUUCUAAGGCUAAUACGUGUAUGGAACACCCGGUGGACCGGCCUUGUGCUGGGAAACCGGGAGGCGAGGGAUUGAAUGGUUUGGAUUACCAGGAACGGGCG